AGAGAUGUGUGAUGACGCAUAUCAAUAAGCGGAGGAAAAGAAACUAACAAGGAUUCCCUUAGUAACGGCGAGUGAAGCGGGAAGAGCUCAAAUUUGAAAUCUUCAAGGUUCUACCUUGACGAAUUGUAGUUUAUAGAAGUGUUUUCUGUUAGUAGAGUGGCAAAAGUUCUUUGGAAUAGGACAUCAUAGAGGGUGAGAAUCCCGUAUUUGGUCAUUCUUUCUAGCUUUGUGAUACACUUUCAACGAGUCGGAUUGUUUGGGAAUGCAGUCCAAAAUGGGUGGUAAAUUUCAUCUAAAGCUAAAUAUUGGCGAGAGACCGAUAGCGAACAAGUACCGUGAGGGAAAGAUAAAAAGAACUUUGAAAAGAGAGUUAAACAGUACGUGAAAUUGUCAAAAGGGAAGCGUUUGACACCAGUGUUGUUUUUCCGAAAAUCAAUUACGAAUGUUUUGUUUUUGAGAAGUUAUGACUUCAUCGGCUUGCUUCUCUCUUUACGAAACUUUCUUAAUGCACUUUUCGGUUAACAAGUCAACAUCAAUUUCUUUUGUUGUAAAAGGGUAUGAGGAAGGUGGCUUUCUUUUCGGAGAAAGUGUUUAUAGCCUUGUACCUCUGCAAUCGGAGAGAUUGAGGUCUGCAGCGUAGAUCCUUCGGGGUUAGAUACAUUUGUGCUAAGUUAUAGCUUUUCAUAGACAACUUGUUGACUAUGUUAAGUCUUGUAGCUUACUCGCUUAUGCUAUUUUACCUACGCUUAGGAUGUUGAUCUGUAGUGCGUGCGC
rnacentral:rRNA from 1 species